CCGACUCAAAGCAUCACAGAGCUCUAAUCUUUUUCUUCAGAAGUCUCCCCAUAUACAACAGAACAAAACCCCAAGUACUUAUUUUGGCAUUCAAGACCUUUUACAACUUGUCCUAAACUAUAUCCACUCUCCUCCACUCCAAAUUUCCACUACUUCAAGUCCUCUAUGCUCCAGUCACACUGAAUGGUAGCUCAAUAUUGCCCAAACAUGUGGGCAUAACCUUGCAUUGCAAUGUUCUUUCAUAACUAACUGCAUAUGCUAUUCUUCCCAGCUACGCUAUGAGCAUCACAAAGGAAGAGACAACAACUGAUUCAUCUUGUCCUUUCCAGAUCUAACCCUGGGACUGGUAUUAAGUGAGUAAUUAAAUAAAUGUUUGUUGAAUUGAAUUGAAUGUGCUUGGAAACCCUAGGGAAAAUCCUCCAGAAUCCUUCUGGGAUUGUAACUGUUCAGUGAAGAGUUACUUAGAAUUAGAAAUUAACCUUUUUUGAGGCUGUUCCUUAGAAGUAGAAAUUAACCUAUUUUGUUAAGAAAACAUUAGGAUGGAUACAUUGUCUCUUUCACUUGCUUUUGGAAAAUACCAGGAAAAAAAAAGAAUGCUGAAAUGUAGCAAAUAUUCUAAAGGUUUAUGGUAUUAUAAUUAGGGGGUGGGAGGAAAAAGGGGAGGUAAAGUAGGUGGUAUAAUAGAAAUUUUUGCAAUCUGGUCUUGAAGGAAAUGAGAAGAGCUAAAUCAGAUAUCCUGGACUUUCUAUGGACCUGCCUUCAAUGGAGGGAGUGAGGUAAGGAUGAAAUUCGAUCAUCAAGAAUUACUUUGAAUGCAACACAGCUGUGGCUAUGUGCUCCUCUUUAAAAGGAAAAUACUCAUGGAAAAAUAAUAUGGCACUUCACAAUUGUUCAUCAGUUUUUGUCAAGAUAUUCUCAGGAGGUCUGAAUGAUUGCUAGUUUUGUUAUAUGUGCUGUUGCCUCAUGCAACCUAGUCCUAAGGUAGGAGACAGGAAC
rnacentral:lncRNA from 9 species